rnacentral:rRNA from 1 species
CAGCGCCGCGGUAAUACGUAGGGUGCGAGCGUUAAUCGGAAUUACUGGGCGUAAAGCGUGCGCAGGCGGUUAUAUAAGACAGAUGUGAAAUCCCCGGGCUCAACCUGGGACCUGCAUUUGUGACUGUAUAGCUAGAGUACGGUAGAGGGGGAUGGAAUUCCGCGUGUAGCAGUGAAAUGCGUAGAUAUGCGGAGGAACACCGAUGGCGAAGGCAAUCCCCUGGACCUGUACUGACGCUCAUGCACGAAAGCGUGGGGAGCAAACAGGAUUAGAUACCCCGGUAGUCCCUGUCUCUUAUACA